rnacentral:rRNA from 1 species
CUGGCGGCAGGCCUAACACAUGCCAAGUCGAGCCGGUAGGAGAGAAGCUUGCUUCUCUUGAGAGCGGCGGACGGGUGAGUAAUGCCUAGGAAUCUGCCUGGUAGUGGGGGAUAACGUUCGGAAACGGACGCUAAUACCGCAUACGUCCUACGGGAGAAAGCAGGGGACCUUCGGGCCUUGCGCUAUCAGAUGAGCCUAGGUCGGAUUAGCUAGUUGGUGGGGUAAUGGCUCACCAAGGCGACGAUCCGUAACUGGUCUGAGAGGAUGAUCAGUCACACUGGAACUGAGACACGGUCCAGACUCCUACGGGAGGCAGCAGUGGGGAAUAUUGGACAAUGGGCGAAAGCCUGAUCCAGCCAUGCCGCGUGUGUGAAGAAGGUCUUCGGAUUGUAAAGCACUUUAAGUUGGGAGGAAGGGCAGUAAAUUAAUACUUUGCUGUUUUGACGUUACCGACAGAAUAAGCACCGGCUAACUCUGUGCCAGCAGCCGCGGUAAUACAGAGGGUGCAAGCGUUAAUCGGAAUUACUGGGCGUAAAGCGCGCGUAGGUGGUUAGUUAAGUUGGAUGUGAAAUCCCCGGGCUCAACCUGGGAACUGCAUUCAAAACUGACUGACUAGAGUAUGGUAGAGGGUGGUGGAAUUUCCUGUGUAGCGGUGAAAUGCGUAGAUAUAGGAAGGAACACCAGUGGCGAAGGCGACCACCUGGACUGAUACUGACACUGAGGUGCGAAAGCGUGGGGAGCAAACAGGAUUAGAUACCCUGGUAGUCCACGCCGUAAACGAUGUCAACUAGCCGUUGGGAGCCUUGAGCUCUUAGUGGCGCAGCUAACGCAUUAAGUUGACCGCCUGGGGAGUACGGCCGCAAGGUUAAAACUCAAAUGA